GUGAGGAAUAUUGGUCAAUGGGCGCAAGCCUGAACCAGCCAUCCCGCGUGCAGGAAGACGGCGCUAUGCGUUGUAAACUGCUUUUCCAGGGGGAGAAACUUGCGCACGUGUUGCGCAAUUGACGGUACCCUGGGAAUAAGCAUCGGCUAACUCCGUGCCAGCAGCCGCGGUAAUACGGAGGAUGCGAGCGUUAUCCGGAUUCAUUGGGUUUAAAGGGUGCGUAGGCGGACUAUUAAGUCAGUGGUGAAAUCCUGCAGCUUAACUGCAGAACUGCCAUUGAUACUGAUAGCCUUGAGUUUGGUUAAGGUAGGCGGAAUGUGUAAUGUAGCGGUGAAAUGCUUAGAUAUUACACAGAACACCAAUUGCGUAGGCAGCUUACUGAGCCGACACUGACGCUGAGGCACGAAAGCGUGGGGAUCGAACAGGAUUAGAAACCCGGGUAGUCC
rnacentral:rRNA from 1 species